GACGAACGCUGGCGGCGUGCUUAACACAUGCAAGUCGAACGGAAAGGCCCUGCUUUUGUGGGGUGCUCGAGUGGCGAACGGGUGAGUAACACGUGAGUAACCUGCCCUUGACUUUGGGAUAACUUCAGGAAACUGGGGCUAAUACCGGAUAGGAGCUCCUGCUGCAUGGUGGGGGUUGGAAAGUUUCGGCGGUUGGGGAUGGACUCGCGGCUUAUCAGCUUGUUGGUGGGGUAGUGGCUUACCAAGGCUUUGACGGGUAGCCGGCCUGAGAGGGUGACCGGCCACAUUGGGACUGAGAUACGGCCCAGAAUCCUACGGGAGGCAGCAGUGGGGAAUAUUGCACAAUGGGCGGAAGCCUGAUGCAGCAACGCCGCGUGCGGGAUGACGGCCUUCGGGUUGUAAACCGCUUUCGCAUGUGACGAAGCGUGAGUGACGGUAAUGGGUAAAGAAGCACCGGCUAACUACGUG
rnacentral:rRNA from 1 species